CCGGAUGAGCCGAACCAGCUUCUUCAGUUCUUCAUUUUCCCGCACCAGCCUCUCAAUCUGAUGCCGAAGCCCCUCAUAAUUUGCUCAGCUCUCUGCGCCUCCAGGCCUGUGUGUUGCCUUACCUCAGCCUGAAGUGUCCUGACAAGAUGAGUCCUAUACCACAUCACUUGCCUCGUGGCCGUGCAGUUGGCCCCUCGGUGCCUUCCAAAGGAUGGUCGCCAGCGAGCGUAGUGACUCUUCCUUUGCACCUGAUCUCUUCUCCUCGGGUCCUUGAAUCUUCCGGAGUUCCAUUCUCUCAAGGAUCUAAAAUAAGACAUGGUGGUGAUCCAGCAGCACCAUCUGUCACUCUACGAUCGCCAGGGUUGAGUCAACUUGGCUGAUCUGGCCGGCUAAGCAAGUACCCAUUCCAUCCUCCUGAAGAAGUCCAUUUGGUAGAAGGCAACCUUCUCCCAGAGGAGGAGCGGCGUUCAACCGAAGAUGCACAAGUCGCUGUGUUCCUCCGCUACGACUUCCGAACAAGAACUGGAGCGAGUCCUCCUCACCUGGCUUCAAGAGAUGAGGACUGAGUCCUCCUGACAUGCCCUUCUUCUAGAGCUAUCUAGAAAGAGUGCCAUGGGCCUGAUCUUGGGAGUCAAUGGAACCUAAUCCUCAAGACCUCCACUGGCUCUGUGGUCAACUUCUCUCAAAGCUCUCCAUGGGUCAGGGAGAGGAAGGUAAAGUCCAGUUUUUGACCAGAUUCCAGUGGGCAGACUCUGGUAGAGAGCGGAGCUGAGGAAGAGGAGAUCAGUCAGGGCUGGGGUCAGUCUAAGUUGGGUGUUCUAUCUGGACCUCACAAUGCUCCAUGAUGUAAUCCUAAGUUCAUCUGGCACUCCAUGAUGUAAUCCUAAGUCACUCUGGCCUCAAGGACAAGAGUACCUGAGGACCAGGCACAAGUUCUUUUCACUAUUCCACCUAAUUUUAUAAAACAUGUCUGCUGAAUUUCCCUUCAGCAUGUGACAAUAAGCGU
rnacentral:lncRNA from 1 species